rnacentral:lncRNA from 1 species
GAAUCUGGUGAAAAAAUCUUCUAGGAGCAGCUAACAAGAAUCCUAAUACAGGAGUGUUUAUGGUUGGGUUGAGACACAUUCAGUAGCUGAGUGAUUGACAGCAAGAGGAGCAAGACAUGAGGAGCUGGUGACACAGUUAUUAUGGAAGGAUAACUGAUAGUCUUAAGUUAAUAAUUAUCAAAUAUAUGGCAAUGCUGGACUUUAGCUGAUCAUCGUGCUUCUGGAAAACAACAAAAAUUGAGAUAUCUGUUCACCACUUUGUGUGUCCAAGGACCACCUACUUUUUACAUGUGACAAGAACUACCCACCUCCACUCUUCAGAACAUGCUGAAGAAAAGAGUUGCAAUGAGAAAAUAUAUGGGAACAAAAUACCUAUGCAAUGCAGAAGUCUGCAUAACUGAACCACUCAGAGGAAAAAGUUUCCCUCCCAGGCUGGAGUACAAUGGCGCGACCUCGGCUCACUGCAACUUCCACCUCCCAGUUCAAGCAAUUCUCCCACCUCAGCUUCCUUAGUAGCUGGGAUUACAAGUGCCUGACACCAGGCCAAGCUAUUUUUGUAUUUUUAGUAGAGACGGGGUUUCACCAUUUUGACCAGGCUGGUCUCAAACUCCUGACCUCAGUCCAUCGGUCCACCUCGGCCUCCCAAAGUGCUGGGAUUGCAGGCAUGAGCCACCGCUCCUGGCCUCAAGUUUAAUUCUUAAAUUGCCAUUUCAGGACACCUCCUACAUCUGAGGAAAUAUGCAUUGAUCUUGCAGUACUUUUCUCCUCCAAAUAAAAGUCUAAGCCAAAGGACACUUCAGUUAUCCAAUCUUGCAACAAAUAC